GACCAGUGUUGAAUUUUUUCUGCUUCAUCGUGCAGUCUUUGCAGUCUUCCACUUUGCCAGAUGAUUGGAAGUCCGACAUUGACGCUGUUUCUCACUGGUGCGACAAGUGGCUCAUGAAAUUAAACAUUAUGACUGGAACCACCUUCCUGCCUCCAUUGCUGCAAUCGAAGAAUCUGCCGCCUUCAAAAUAGCAGCUAUUCAUGUAUUGUUCUCAGACCACUCCUCUCUGUAAUGCCCUCGGGCCCUGAGAGUAUGAAAAUAAUAAAAUAAAUAAAU